AGAGUUUGAUUCUGGCUCAGGAUGAACGCUGGCGGCGUGCUUAACACAUGCAAGUCGAACGAAGCAUUGGAGAUGAAGUUUCGGAUGGAUCUCCUUGACUUAGUGGCGGACGGGUGAGUAACGCGUGGGGAACCUGCCGUAUGCAGGGGGACAACAGUUGGAAACGACUGCUAAUACCGCAUAAGCGCACGGAACCGCAUGGUUUUGUGUGAAAAGAUUUAUCGGCAUACGAUGGCCCCGCGUUGGAUUAGGUAGUUGGUGAGGUAACGGCCCACCAAGCCGACGAUCCAUAGCCGACCUGAGAGGGUGACCGGCCACAUUGGGACUGAGACACGGCCCAAACUCCUACGGGAGGCAGCAGUGGGGAAUAUUGCACAAUGGGGGAAACCCUGAUGCAAGCGACGCCGCGUGAGUGAGGAAGUAUUUCGGUAUGUAAAGCUCUAUCAGCAGGGAAGAAGAUGACGGUACCUGCAUAAGAAGCCCCGGCUAACUACGUGCCAGCCGCCGC
rnacentral:rRNA from 1 species